UACGAAGGGGGCUAGCGUUGCUCGGAAUCACUGGGCGUAAAGGGUGCGUAGGCGGGUUUUUAAGUCAGGGGUGAAAUCCUGGAGCUCAACUCCAGAACUGCCUUUGAUACUGGCGAUCUUGAGUCCGGGAGAGGUGAGUGGAACUGCGAGUGUAGAGGUGAAAUUCGUAGAUAUUCGCAAGAACACCAGUGGCGAAGGCGGCUCACUGGCCCGGUACUGACGCUGAGGUGCGAAAGCGUGAGGAGCAAACAGG
rnacentral:rRNA from 1 species